rnacentral:rRNA from 1 species
GACGUAGGGCGCGAGCGUUGUCCGGAUUUAUUGGGCGUAAAGAGCUCGUAGGCGGCUUGUCGCGUCGACCGUGAAAACUCGCAGCUCAACUGCGAGCCUGCGGUCGAUACGGGCAGGGCUAGAGUUCGGUAGGGGAGACUGGAAUUCCUGGUGUAGCGGUGAAAUGCGCAGAUAUCAGGAGGAACACCGGUAGCGGAAGGCGGUUCUCUGGGAAUGUCCUGACGCUGAGGAGCGAAAGUGUGGGGAGCGAACAGG